UCAUAUGCACGUUGACGUCUGGACCAUAUGACAACCGCUACUAUUUUUUUGUAUAUCUAUGCACAUUCACUGCUAUUAAAAUGUUCAGAAGUAUGUAAAUACUUUGACCAAUUAUCCGUGUCGUCACGAUGCCCGUUUUCUCAAAGUUUCAAUGGAUGUAUGGGUAUGUGUUUCCUAAACAAUCAGUGUUAUGAUGUCACGUAAUUUCCGAGGGAACCACCACAUAAUUCAGCUUAUUAUUAUCUCGACACUUAACAAUGGAAGCAGAGGAGUUUAAAAGGACACGGGUGUACGUGCUGGGAGGUCGCGGGUACGGUAAAACUACUGUCAUCAACCUCCUCCUGGGCAAGAUGAACACCCCGACAGACCGCGGAGACAU